rnacentral:rRNA from 1 species
AAAGGACAGUGGCGGACGGGUGAGUAAUGUGUAGAGAAUCCGCCCUAUAGGAGGGGGAUAGCAGUUGGAAACGACUAUUAAUACCCCAUAUGCGCGUAGUUGAGAUGCUAUUCGUGAAAGAUUUUAUCGCUAUAGGAUGAGUCUGCAUCUGAUUAGCUAGUUGGCGGUGUAAUGGACCACCAAGGCGACGAUCAGUAGCUGGUUUGAGAGGAUGAUCAGCCACAAGUGGGACUGAGACGCGGCCCAUACUCCUACGGGAGGCAGCAGGUAGGGUAAUUUUGCGCAAGUGGGACGAAAGCCUGACGCAGACCAACGCCGCGUGAUCGCAGACGUCGUUUUCGGAGUAGUAAAGAUCUGUCAGUGGGGACGAACAAUGACUGUACCCACAGAGGAAGCACCGGCUAACUCCGUGCCAGCCGCGGC